rnacentral:lncRNA from 1 species
AAAGCUUGAAAUUGUGACUGCAUAACGACCGUCAACUGGCCCCCGAUUAUACUCCAACCCGUGACCACAUCACAGCCUCCGACUAGGAAUUGCACUUAGACUUCGACCCGUGACUAUAUCAAGCACUGUCGCCCUAAAACCUAACUUUCAUAGGAUGAGUUUCUGAGGUAAUGGUCCUAUCCUAGCAUGACAUAUGAAAUGUAUGUGUUUUGAGAUGCGUUGUUGCAUCCCCGAC